rnacentral:tRNA from 4 species
GCACUCGUAGCUCAGCUGGAUAGAGCGCCGCCCUCCGGAGGCGGAGGUCACAGGUUCGAAUCCUGUCGAGUGCGCCA